rnacentral:rRNA from 1 species
AGAACGAACGCUGGCGGCAGGCUUAACACAUGCAAGUCGAACGGUUGUAGCAAUACAGCAGUGGCAGACGGGUGAGUAACACGUGGGAACCUUCCUAGGGGUACGGAACAACUCAGGGAAACUUGAGCUAAUACCGUAUACGUCCGUAAGGAGAAAGAUUCAUCGCCCCUAGACGGGCCCGCGUAGGAUUAGGUAGUUGGUGAGGUAAAGGCUCACCAAGGCGACGAUCCGUAGCUGGUCUGAGAGGAUGAUCAGCCACACUGGGACUGAGACACGGCCCAGACUCCUACGGGAGGCAGCAGUGGGGAAUUUUGGACAAUGGGGGCAACCCUGAUCCAGCCAUGCCGCGUGAGUGAAGAAGGCCUUCGGGUUGUAAG